ACAAAAACAAAAACAGAUUGUAAGUAUAUACAGGUGUGUCAGGUGUGUCAGGUGUUGUGUUGGUUGUCUCUCAGGCUGUGACACAGUUUGACAUAUUUAGCUGCUGCUAAGCUGCUGACUCUGUUCUCUCCAAGGAUGUGCUGCAUUUUAAUUUGAUCAGGCAGAGAAUCAAAGUCAGUGACUGAAACUUUGAUUUUUGAGAGGAACUCUGCUCUCGCCUGUUCGUAUUUGCUGCAGUGCAGCAGGAAGUGUGUCUCCGUCUCCACCUGUCUGUGUGGACAGAGCUGACAAAACCUGUCCUCUCUGGGCAGCCAGGUCUGCCUGUGUCUGCCCGUCUCUAUGGCCAAGCUGUGGUCACUGAGUCUGUACAUGGUCAGAAUCUUCCUCAGUGUCUCAUCAGUCACGGUGCUCAGAUAUUCUGCCACCGUGUACUUUCUGUUUAGAGCCAAAUAACACUGAAGUUUGCUUUGUGUUGUUGUGGUAGAUGUCCAAUAGUUUAUGUAAUGUUGUUUUUGUUGUUCUAUGAUUUUGGGGGUCCAGAUUGUGUGAGGGCUGUCCUGAGAGGAGCUGAGCCUCAGGAUGAGCUGGCUGAGCGGGCUCUUCUCCAUGUUCUCCUCUUGGCAUUGCAUUGCAGUCAGAAGUUUAACAUCCAAGUCAGUUUAGGAAAAAUAAUGGAAUAGAAAAAGCUCUUCAGAGGUCUCAGGAGUUUUUUUGAUUGUUGAGACGCAAGACGACAAUUAGCUUUGUCAUUUUGUUGCCCCACUGAGUGUGACACAUCACACUGACAGCCACUCUGCCAACUUGUCUGGGACAACAGCUUCCUCCAAGCCAUGUUCCUUUUUUAUAUAUAUAUAUAAUAAAAGCAGCUUAUUACGCUGCGCUGAGAAACAAGACUGUACGAUCCAUUGCAAAGAUCAUUUGGGUCUAAACAAUUCCCCAUCUCAAUGUAGUGUAUGUAUGAACUAUUUAGUUGAAUUCAGACUGUUUGAUGAUCCCAGGCGUGUCACGCCUGCAUGAAAGUGCACUGCCAGCAGGGGGAGACAAUUUUCUCAGCACCCGCGGACAACAAGAAGCAUUGAGUUCACUCCCACACCUGGGAGCUGCAUGACUGAUGAAAAGUAUUUUUAAAACUAAGAAUGGCGUUUGUUAAACAGCUUGGGGUGUAAUCAUGUUCAUUACAUUUCACUUGUCGGUCGAGACGUUUGAUGAAAUGAAAUUUGAAACUUAACUUAGGUCCAUUAGCAUUUAGGUUUACAACUAGCUGAAAGCUGAGAGCUAGCUUCAGUGAAAGGAGCUGUAUAAUAAUAUAAGCUUAUUUUCUGGUCGCCGAUAGCUGAAGGUGUUCAACUGUUUCACGCUUGUCAAUGUCAGCUUUUACUCAGCCGUCCAAUCACAGUGGAGGAGAGGCGGGAGAAGAAGCGCAAAGACCAGAGAGGCUUUGGUUGCUAGGAUACGGAUAAUCAGUACAAGCAACGUUUACGCUGUAAGAGACAUAGCUAAACAUUUGUUUGUUCUGUUUUCCUUUUCCUUUGUCCAACAGCUCCCGCCCAGCUUUCUCCGUGCACCUCCACCUAUUCCCGUUUCUUUAAAAAGCCUCAUACCUGACGCGCGCGCGCGCGCGCACACACACACACACACCCUCCACACACAUACAUUGUCUGUCUGUCUGUCUGUCUGUCUGUCUCACUUUCUCUUUCUCUCUCUGCUGAGGACCUGCUGUCUUGAUGUGAGUUUUGUUAUUCUAUGGUAUAUUUAUAUGUGCCACAUUAAUCUCUGUCCAAAACACUGAGUGCCUGCCAUUUUCUUCUUGUUAUGAAGGUAACUAAAAGCCACUAAGUCUGGCAAUAUGAGAAAAAAAUAUGAUGUCAGAAUAAGUUCAUUUCAGUGAUGACAGUAUGAAUUUUGACAUAUAAAUAUUGAAGUGUGCAUUCUCUUCUGUCUUUCUGCUUUAAUCAGUACGCUGCUACAUAGAGGCAAACAUUUAAUAGCCUCUGACGAGUGAGCAAAAAAAUGAAUUACAAUUAUUUCUAACAUCCAUUCAUUGAACAAACAUCAAUACCCAAUGAAUUGAUCAUAACAUUAUUUAAAUCAGAAGCAAAAAAAAAACUAAUCUUGCCAUUGCACAUGCAUUUGUCGUAAUAAAAGUGAAAAUUCAGUUUACCAGUCAGCCAUAGUGGUGUCCUGCUGUCUCCCACAUUCUCAGCUUUUAUUUUGGCCUGACUUUUUUUUCUUUUGUCUUUUCUUUUUAAAUUAGUAUUGGUGCAAUGGCUGCUCAAGACAGAGGGAGAGCAGAGGAUGAAAUUUUCCUUGCAGACCUGCUUCUGGCUCAAAACAAAGUGAAGAAACCCAAGGGCAAGCCUCCCAAUAAGUUUCAAAACCGAUGGUUGGAGAGAGAUGCUGAUGGACGUCCAGCAUUAAAAAGAAGUCGAUCCAGCGAGACACGAAGACGUUCUUCAGCUACAGACAUUGAGAUGCAGAAACUUCAGGAUAUCCUGUCCUCAGCCAGUGUUAAAGUUGAUGACCAUCCUUCAACAUCCACAUCAUAGUGCUUGUGCCAGUCUACAGCCCAAGAUGAGUGGCGGAAAGCAAGUGAGACCCAUCAAAAUAUGCACCUGCGACCCUGCAAACCUCACAGAACCUGGAGGAAAAGCCGUUAUUUUGAUUUGCAUGAGUGGUAUGCCUAUGCCUUUCUAUUUGUAUCUUUUUUCUGUUCAUUUGUGUCAAAAAAUAACAAUGCAUUUAAUUUACUACUUUUGGUUUUUAGGUCGAUAUAAUUUGGCACUUGCCAUGGUUGGCAUGUACGUCAUGCAUUGCACAGUGGACCCCUGACAGGGGUGAUCUGAUUAAAAAGUGGGUAUUGGCCAGCAUCUGUGAAUGCAGACAAAAUCUUUUCAGUGGCUCUGAUGGUGAAAUUCAAGAAGACAUGGAGAUGUGUUCCAACAGAGCUACUUGAAGUACACUUUCUGCCUCCAUCAGUGUGAAACAAUGGCAGGGGUACAGCACUUCACCUGCCCAGCAUGUACUCCAAACAUGCUUGCUGUUUGUGCAGAUGGCAACCUGAAAUGGUACCGAUUUCAGUCA